UACGAGGGGUGCAAGCGUUGCUCGGAAUUAUUGGGCGUAAAGGGUAGGUAGGUGGUCUCAUUUGUCUGGGGUGAAAUCCUUGAGCUUAACUCAAGAACUGCCCCAGAAACGGUGAGACUCGAGUCCUGGAGAGGGUCGUGGAAUUCCCGGUGUAGCGGUGAAAUGCGUAGAGAUCGGGAGGAACACCAGAGGCGAAGGCGGCGACCUGGACAGGUACUGACACUCAACUACGAAAGCGUGGGGAGCAAACAGG
rnacentral:rRNA from 1 species